GCGGAAGUGGUGGAAUUGGUAGACGCGCUAGGUUCAGGUCCUAGUGGGCGCAAGCCUGUGGGGGUUCGAGUCCCCCCUUCCGCA
rnacentral:tRNA from 1 species